GACGAACGCUGGCGGCGUGCUUAACACAUGCAAGUCGAACGGUGAAGCGCCUUCCUUUUUGGUGGGUGUGGAUGAGUGGCGAACGGGUGAGUAACACGUGAGUAACCUGCUCCCUUCUUCUGGAUAACCGCAUGAAAGUGUGGCUAAUACGGGAUAUUCUGGGUCUGUCGCAUGAUGGGUCUGGGAAAGUUAUUGUUUCGGUGGUGGAUGGGCUCGCGGCCUAUCAGCUUGUUGGUGGGGUGAUGGCCUACCAAGGCGGUGACGGGUAGCCGGCCUGAGAGGGUGGCCGGUCAGGCUGGGGCGGAGACACGGCCAAGACUGCUACGGGAGGCAGCAGUGGGGAAUACUGGACGCUGGGGGGGAGCAUGAUGCAGCGACGCCGCGUGAGGGAUGGAGGCCUGCGGGUUGUGAGCCUCAUUCGCCAGUGAAGCAGGGCUGCCUCGUUUGUGGGUGGAUUGACGGUAGCUGGAGAAGAAGCGCCGGCUAACUACGUG
rnacentral:rRNA from 1 species